rnacentral:rRNA from 1 species
CCUACGGGAGGCUGCAGUGGGGAAUAUUGCACAAUGGGGGAAACCCUGAUGCAGCGACGCCGCGUGAGUGAAGAAGUAAUUCGUUAUGUAAAGCUCUAUCAGCAGGGAAGAAAAUGACGGUACCUGAGUAAGAAGCCCCGGCUAACUACGUGCCAGCAGCCGCGGUAAUACGUAGGGGGCAAGCGUUAUCCGGAUUUACUGGGUGUAAAGGGAGCGUAGACGGCAGUGCAAGUCUGGAGUGAAAGGCGGGGGGUCAACCCCCGGACUGCCCUGGAAACUGUACGGCUGGAGUGCAGGAGAGGUAAGUGGAAUUCCUGGUGUAGCGGUGAAAUGCGUAGAUAUUAGGAGGAACACCAGUGGCGAAGGCGGCUUACUGGACUGUAACUGACGUUGAGGCUCGAAAGCGUGGGGAGCAAACAGGAUUAGAUACCCCUGUAGUC